AUUGAACGCUAGCGGGAUGCUUUACACAUGCAAGUCGAACGGCAGCGCGGACUUCGGUCUGGCGGCGAGUGGCGAACGGGUGAGUAAUGUAUCGGAACGUGCCCAGUAGCGGGGGAUAACUACGCGAAAGCGUAGCUAAUACCGCAUACGCCCUACGGGGGAAAGCAGGGGAUCGUAAGACCUUGCACUAUUGGAGCGGCCGAUAUCGGAUUAGCUAGUUGGUGAGGUAACGGCUCACCAAGGCGACGAUCCGUAGCUGGUUUGAGAGGCCGACCAGCCACACUGGAACUGAGACACGGCCCAGACUCCUACGGGAGGCAGCAGUGGGGAAUUUUGGACAAUGGGGGCAAACCUGAUCCAGCCAUCCCGCGUGUGCGAUGAAGGCCUUCGGGUUGUAAAGCACUUUUGGCAGGAAAGAAACGUCGCGGGCUAAUACCCCGUGGAACUGACGGUACCUGCAGAAUAAGCACCGGCUAACUACGUG
rnacentral:rRNA from 1 species